rnacentral:rRNA from 1 species
CCUGAUGACAAUAGCGAGUUGGUCCCACCCCUUCCCAUUCCGAACAGGGCCGUGAAACGACUCAGCGCCGAUGAUAGUACGGAUUACCCGUGUGAAAGUAGGACAUCGUCAGGC